AUGGGUGUUGGGUCCAACAAUUCGCAUUGGUCUCAAACCAAUGACAUCCAUUUCGAAGACCAUGAGUUUGAGGUGGACGAGGAGGGUGAGGGAAUUGUCGAGGCGCCGAGAGGAAGAGCGGGCAAUUACUCCACCACCGAUGACAAGUUACUAUGCAACACUUAUUUGCAUGUGUCGAAGGAUCCAUCCAUUGGAGGGAGGCAUGGGUGGCUUCGGCGCCAUGGGAGGCGGUGGCCUCGUCGCCAUGUGGCCUCGGCGCCAUGGGAGGCAUGGGUGGCCUCGGCGCCAUGGGAGGCAUUGGUGGCUUUGGAGGCAUGGAGGCAUGGGUGCACCUCCGGCCGCCAUGGGAGGCAUGGGUGGCUUUGGAGCACCCUCCGACGCUAUGACCGCCAUGGGAGGCAUGAGUUUUGCUUCUCUCAUGGGAGGCAUGGGUGCACCUCCGGCCGCCAUGGGUGCACCUCCGGCCGCCAUGGCUUCUCACACACAUUCCCAUGA
rnacentral:rRNA from 1 species